AGCCUAAACUUGGUCUUCUGGCUAGGCAUGGCAAAAAACUCAACAAAGGUACUGAUCCCCACGAUCAGCGAUUCUUUGUUGAGUCAUACUUCGAAAGGAGUAUGGGGCCGUAAGGCUC
rnacentral:sRNA from 12 species